rnacentral:tRNA from 1 species
UCCCUGGUGGCUCAGACAGUAAAGUGUCUGCCUGCAAUGCAGGAGACCUGGGUUUGAUUCCUGGGUCGGGAA